rnacentral:rRNA from 1 species
UACAGAGGUCCCAAGCGUUGUUCGGAUUCACUGGGCGUAAAGGGUGCGUAGGUGGUGAGGUAAGUCGGAUGUGAAAGCUCGGAGCUCAACUCCGAAAUGGCAUUGGAAACUACCUUGCUCGAGGGUUGGAGGGGGGACUGGAAUACUUGGUGUAGCAGUGAAAUGCAUAGAUAUCAAGUGGAACACCAGUGGCGAAGGCGAGUCCCUGGACAACUCCUGACACUGAGGCACGAAAGCUAAGGGAGCAAACAGG